GGAUUAGAUACCCUGGUAGUCCACGCUGUAAACGAUGCACACUGGGUGCUGGAGACUCUGACGUCAUCGGUGCCGGAGUAAAAACGUUAAGUGUGCCGCCUGGGGAGUACGGCCGCAAGGCUAAAACUCAAAGGAAUUGACGGGGGCUCACACAAGCGGUGGAGCAUGUGGCUUAAUUCGAAACAACGCGAAGAACCUUACCCAGGUUUGACAUGCUUGGAUGCACCUCUUGGAUAACUUGAGGUUGCUGCCCUUCGGGGUGAAACUUGCACAGGUGUUGCAUGGCUGUCGUCAGCUCGUGCUG
rnacentral:rRNA from 1 species